UAAGGAAUAUUGGACAAUGGAGGCAACUCUGAUCCAGCCAUGCCGCGUGAAGGAAUAAGGCCCUAUGGGUUGUAAACUUCUUUUAGACGGGACAAAACCCCUUUACGUGUAAAGGGUUGAUGGUACUGUCAGAAUAAGCAUCGGCUAACUUCGUGCCAGCAGCCGCGGUAAUACGAAGGAUGCAAGCGUUAUCCGGAAUUAUUGGGAUUAAAGGGUGCGUAGGCGGACUAAUAAGUCAGUGGUGAAAGCCUGCAGCUUAACUGCAGAAUUGCCAUUGAUACUGUUAGUCUUGAGUACAGUUGAGGUAGGCGGAAUGUGUCAUGUAGCGGUGAAAGGCUUAGAUAUGACACAGAACACCGAUUGCGAAGGCAGCUUGCUAAGCUGUAACUGACGCUGAGGCACGAAAGCGUGGGGAGCAAACA
rnacentral:rRNA from 1 species